UAGGGAAUCUUCCACAAUGGACGCAAGUCUGAUGGAGCAACGCCGCGUGAGUGAAGAAGGUCUUCGGAUCGUAAAGCUCUGUUGUUGGUGAAGAAGGAUAGAGGCAGUAACUGGUCUUUAUUUGACGGUAAUCAACCAGAAAGUCACGGCUAACUACGUGCCAGCAGCCGCGGUAAUACGUAGGUGGCAAGCGUUGUCCGGAUUUAUUGGGCGUAAAGCGAGCGCAGGCGGAAUGAUAAGUCUGAUGUGAAAGCCCACGGCUCAACCGUGGAACUGCAUCGGAAACUGUCAUUCUUGAGUGCAGAAGAGGAGAGUGGAACUCCAUGUGUAGCGGUGGAAUGCGUAGAUAUAUGGAAGAACACCAGUGGCGAAGGCGGCUCUCUGGUCUGCAACUGACGCUGAGGCUCGAAAGCAUGGGUAGCGAACAGGAUUAGAUACCCUGGUAGUCCAUGCCGUAAACGAUGAGCGCUAGGUGUUGGGGACUUUCC
rnacentral:rRNA from 1 species